rnacentral:rRNA from 1 species
CCUACGGGAGGCAGCAGUGAGGAAUAUUGGUCAAUGGGCGGAAGCCUGAACCAGCCAAGUAGCGUGCAGGAUGACGGCCCUACGGGUUGUAAACUGCUUUUAUACGGGAAUAACGCGCCUUACGUGUAGGGCUUUGCAUGUACCGUAUGAAUAAGGACCGGCUAAUUCCGUGCCAGCAGCCGCGGCAUUACGGAAGGUCCGGCCGUUACCCGGAUUUUUUGGGUUUAAAGGGAGCGUAGGCGGCAUGUCAAGCUUGCUGUGAAAUGUCCGGGCUCAACCCGGGCCUUGCAGCGCGAACUGGCGGGCUUGAGUCCGCGGAAAGCAGGCGGAAUUCGUCGUGUAGCGGUGAAAUGCUUAGAUAUGACGAAGAACCCCGAUUGCGAAGGCAGCUUGCUGCAGCGGAACUGACGCUGAUGCUCGAAAGCGCGGGUAUCGAACAGGAUUAGAUACCCUAGUAGUC